rnacentral:rRNA from 1 species
AUGGAUGGCCUUAGACGCCCCUCAAUCAUUGGGAAAGCAAAGAGCUAUGUAUCUUCUCCCUUAGGAGCUCUGCGAGAGAAGAUGCCUCCAUCUGGAUACCGAUCCCUACACACAAGUCGCCCCCUGUCAGCUCCUGUCGCAAACCGCCCAUUGUCUCAUCAUCUUCCUCCGAAGAAGCCACAGUUGAGCACUACGUUCUCGAUCUCGCACCGUAUAUUUGGCAUUGCGCUGGGUUCUGCCAUCAUAUCUGUUCCUCUUGCUACCAAGUUCAGCCUCAUGUUUGGUGUCUGA